GUGGCUGGGCUGGUGUGCGUUUGUGUGUAUAUGUGUGUGAGAGUGGUUGUGCGUGGAAGGUGCGUGCGUGCCGAGUGUGAGUGGACGCGUGGGAGCGCGCGUGCGCCCGCCCCUCUCCCCGCGCCUACACCUUGAUCUUAUUUGAUCGGGCCGCGCCCUCCGCCCCGCCGGGCCGCCCCGAGAUGAAAAGGCCCCCCUUCCGCGAAGCCCCCUCCGGGCGGGCGCUGUGCGGCAGGCCUCGGGGCGGGGCGGCGCCGCGGCUCGGGCCGCCUGGGCCUUCGGGCGCGGCGCUCAGAAGUGAUGAAUUGAUCAGAUAGACGAGGCCGGGCCUGGCCCGCGCCGCUGAUUACCGAUGCGAUUCUGAUCUGA
rnacentral:snoRNA from 1 species